AAAAGACGCGGUUGCCAUAGAGACGGUGUAGCAGAAAUCUUCAACGCAGCAGGUUUAGUUAAUCUAAAUCCACGUAUAUUUCACCAUCACAGGGACAUGGAUCUCGUCUCGGAAAUAAACUGCAUUAGUCUAGAUGAAGAUGAGGAGGAAGACAUGAUUUCAGAAGAGAUUGCUGAAAUUCAAGGGUAUUCUCUGGGGAAUCAGCUGAGGUUGGGCUUCUUUGGUCAGGAUGCCAGCGUCCAAACAGACGUGUCCGAGCUUCCUCUGGUCACACGGCUGUCUACUGAAACGACACAACUCACGAAGGAGAUGGACGCUCUGAGGAAGGAGAUCGGAGUGAAACUGAAGUUUCUCCAGGCUCAGUAUGAGUCCCGGCUGAAGCGAGAGGCCGACGACUUCCGUACGAGAAUUAAUUACAAAGUCAAAGCCAUUGAGGAACAGCACAAAGAGGUCGGCUGUGCACACCGCUGCUGUCUCGAUAAAGUAAAGGUUCUGCGUAACAGCUGUCGCCAGCAGCUCUCUUAUGCAAUAGACGUCAUCAAAGCCAGCUAUAAGAAAACCGAAAUGAUGGAGGUGGAACCCAGAGACACCAGACGAGUGCAGGAGCUUUUAGAUGAGAUCCAGGAGAAGGAUUUUAAAAUUGAGAGCCUGAGCGAUCAGCUGAGGGAGUACAAGGAGCAGCUGGAGGUACAGGCCGCAGAUGAUCCGGAGGAAAGUUGGCUGAAGACAGAGAACAGCAGGCUGGAAGGUGACGUCGACGCCCUGCACGUCAAAAUAGAACAAAUUCAACAAGCUCUCAUGGCUAAAGACCAGAAGCUGAAGGAUUUGGCCUCGGAUAUUUCAGAGCUGAAAUCAACAGCAGAGGCCGACAAGAAAGCCCUGAGAAAGAUGACCAUUGAAAACGAGCAGCUAAAAGUGCAGUUAAAUGUAGAUAAAGAAAGUGGGAGAAAGAAGAUGACCAAACAGGAAAUGGACAAAGAGAUCGAAUCCAUCGAACACUCGCGGCAGAACGAGAGGUUAAAUGCUGAGAGGAAAUGUAAAGAAGAAGAAGGUGUGAAAGAAGCUGAACAGGAAAAGCCUGGAGAGAUGCUGUUUGCUCAGGACGUCAGACUGAAAGCCCAAGCAGGAACGGUCCCAAAGAAAGUACGCAUGCUUCAGGUCAAGAACCUUGUAAAAGAGCUGGAGAAACUGAGAAAUGCAGAAGCAUCCCAUAAAGAGCUCGUCGACAGGCUGCGGAAACAGAUGGCUGAGAGCAAUCGCAAAUGGGAGAAGAAGUUUGAGGUUCUCAGAAAGAGUUUCUACGCCAUCAAAGACGAGAUGUUUUUGCGGCACAGUCUGCAGCGUAAGGCCUCUCUCAGAUACCAGAUGGAGGUUCCUGUUUUAUGUCAGGCGUGCUGUGGAGAAAAAAGUUGCCUCAAUGCGGCCUGUUGUUCCACAAACACUCAGCCGUCAUCUACAGGUCCAGGAGCUCUGCAGAGAACAGGAUGUAGGACUACAGAUGAGACCACUGGACAAGGCACCUCUGCAGGAUUCCGAUUAGAGACUGAUGAUGAGGAUGAUGAAGAUUUGGUCCCGAUCGUCACUCUCCCUCCCCCUCCCAACAGCCCGACUCCAGAACGUCAAGUACAAACCUCUUUUCUCACACACGAUUCGUAGCACAAAUAAAGCCACUAGCACAUAGCCAUGGGCCUGAUAAAUAAAUAAAUAAAUAGUAAAAUAAAUAGUAGCAUUUUUUUAUAUAUUUGAAUUUGUAGCACCUUUUUAAUAUGAAUGUAUGCAUUAAUACAUGAUUAAAUCAUUUUAUAUAACAUGUAUUAUCCUUCUAAUAUUCAAGACACUGUGGAUAAGUACAAGUAAUACGGAUAAGUACAUUUCCUGUCCUCUCGCUUUUUAUGUAAAUAUUAGCUUCAUCGUUUUGCACCAUUUUAUAGAGUUUGAUAGUGAAGGCGAGUAUAGGAAUUUAUUAUUAUUUUUAAAAAAUACAGCCUUAUAAUGUUUUAUAGUUUGAUGGUUAAAUUUCAGAUAGAACAUUUAGUGAUUAUUCACCCAGUUUUAUGUUGGAUCUUUAACAUAAAGCGCAAAGAUAAUGUUUAAGAUCUUAACAUCAAGCUCCAGGGAUUGAGUUUGGACGUUCUUUAAUCCUCCAACACACACACACACACACACACACACACACCCACUGUCACGAUCUCGCCGGCAGAUGGUGCUGCGGCGACGACGUGCAUGGGCAGAUGGAGAACGCGUGCACGUGUUUAAAGUGCGCAUGGACGAUGAGACUUUGGUUACAACGGACAUGUGCACUUAUUUUGGUUUCUGUUCUGUCCCCGCCCGGUUCAGUUAUUGGCGGAGGUGCGAGGGUGUGCUUUGAAGUGUUAACCAGCUGUCAGCAAUUAAGAGUUCCCAUAAUGUGUAAACAAAGCCUGCAGUGGCUUUAACAGGCUUUAAUUGACUCCGGGACUGCAUGGCCGUAAUCCACUACUACAGCAACCCAAAGAAGUGCGUGUGUGUUCUGCAGCCAACAUCAGGAGACAUCCAAGAAUGUCCUUUAGCUUCACACGGUCAAAAAAACAACAAAAAACCUGGGAGGACUCAUGGCUUCAGAGGGUUUAGAUGGCAUUUGAGGAGGGAAACAAUACGAGCUGAUCUAUUUCACUUUCUGUAGACCUUCACUGUGGGUUGGAGAUGAAUCCACUUCAUGUGUGCGGUGUAGAUUUACACUGGAUCAGAGGCAUUAUGUCAGCCAUCAUCAUCAUCAUCAUCAUCAUCAUCAGAGCAUUCUGUAUAAAUUUACUCAAAUGAACAUUUAUUUAUAAUAGAAUAAUACAGUUAUUCAGAAGUAUUAAAAUAUCUUGUUGUUAAAAGCAAAGGUCUGAGCACCUCAUAAGAUUUUGAUUGAAAUUCUUGCAUAGAAUUUGCUAAAAUGAGAAAACUCUAAGUAAGGACUCGAUCUUUUAUUGUGAACAUCUAGAUCUAAUCAUAGGUCAUAUUUUACUUAUUAUAUUUUACCUUAAUACCGAUAUUAACAUUACAGUAUGUGGUCUUUUAAUCUGUAAACUCAACAAGUUGAUUAUCUUUAAAUCUUUAAAAGCAUUAUUCAGAGUAUCUUCAGAGAAUAAAAAUGAUUUAGGUCUGAAAAAAAGUAGGCAUGUAAUAUUUUUUCCAUGUCACAAACCUUUUUGUUACUAAUGCUGAUUACUAAUAGUAAUAAUUCUGUGAGGAAACUGUGUAUCGACAUGUUU